rnacentral:misc_RNA from 1 species
GAUGAAGAACGUAGCGAAAUGCGAUACUUGGUGUGAAUUGCAGAAUCCCGUGAACCAUCGAGUCUUUGAACGCAAGUUGCGCCCGAAGCCAUUAGGCCGAGGGCACGCCUGCCUGGGCGUCACACGUCGUUGCCCCCCCAUCUACUCCUUCGGGAUUGCGGGGGGCGGAUGAUGGCCUCCCGUGCGCCUCGCCGCGCGGUUGGCAGAAAUGCCAAGUCCUCGGCGACGCACGCCACGACAAUCGGUGGUUGCGAAACCUCGGUUGCCCGUCGUGUGCGGUCGUCGCGCAUCGAGGGCUCGAAAAAAUUGCCGGGUUCCGGCUCGGCUUUCAACGCGACCCCAGGUCAGGCGGGGUUACCCGCUGAAUUUAAGCAUAUCAAUAAGCGGAGGA